rnacentral:rRNA from 1 species
AGGACUAACGCUGGCGGCGUGCCUAACACAUGCAAGUCGAACGAAGUAGCAAUACUUAGUGGCAGACGGGUGAGUAACACGUAGUCAACCUGCCCUUCAAUGGGGGAUAACUAGCCGAAAGGUUAGCUAAUACCGCAUACGAUCUCUGAGUGGCAUCACUCGGCGAUGAAAGGAGUAAUCCGUUGAAGGAGGGGACUGCGUCCCAUUAGUUAGUUGGUGGGGUAAUGGCCUACCAAGACUCCGAUGGGUAGCUGGCUUGAGAGAGCGACCAGCCACACUGGAACUGAGACACGGUCCAGACUCCUACGGGAGGCAGCAGUGAGGAAUUUUCCGCAAUGGGGGAAACCCUGACGGAGCGACGCCGCGUGUGGGAAGAAGGCCUUCGGGUCGUAAACCGACUGUCGAAGGGGACGAUAUUGACGGUACCCCUGGAGGAAGCCCGGCUAACUACGCGCCAGCAGCCGC